UACGGGGGGGGCAAGCGUUGUUCGGAAUUACUGGGCGUAAAGGGCUCGUAGGCGGCCAACUAAGUCGGAUGUGAAAUCCCCAGGCUUAACCUGGGAACUGCAUCCGAUACUGGAUGGCUUGAAUCCGGGAGAGGGAUGCAGAAUUCCAGGUGUAGCGGUGAAAUGCGCAGAUAUCAGGAGGAACACCGGUGGCGAAGGCGGGUCUCUGGGCCGAUAUUGACGCUGAGGAGCGAAAGCGUGGGGAGCGAACAGG
rnacentral:rRNA from 1 species